CACCAGGAGUAAUUCCUCCAAAUUUGAACCAAAUUGGACAAGUCUAGCUACCGGACCAACGUGCCUGAAGUUUGUAUGGGAUUUUUCGACAAUUUACAUGGAGAAAACCCACUAACUCGCAUUUUCGCCGCUAGGUGGCACUAUAUGCAUCGUAUUAUCACUGUAAGUGAAAAUAAGAAAGAUAAUUUAAUUGCCUACAAAUUUGCCGAAGACUGCUAGUCAAUCCGGCUUUGGUAAAAGAAAUUAUUAACCUUUUAACGAAGUGAUGUCUGAGUCAGUUUUGCAUGGGGCCUAGCUGUGCAUGAUUGUGGAUCAAUACUUGAUUCGCACGAACUAAACAUUUUUGUGAAAUAAUGGUUGGGUUUAGGUCAAUAGUAUGUUCGAAAGAUUUAUAGCAAGUAAUUUGAGGCAUGUUUUGGUUAGAAAAUUUUAGUUCCGCAUUUUACCGCAUAGAGGGCGCCAACACUAACUUUUCAUAGGAGUGAGAUAGAAUAUCAAGAUGUUCGGAAGAAUUAUUUAAAAAUGCUUGCUCUACAACUUUGUAGAAGACACCUAAUCUCUAUCUCUUUCCGUUGAAAAGUUAGUGUUGGCACCCUCUAUGCGGUAAAAUGCGGAACUAAAAUUUUCUAACCAAAACAUGCCUCAAAUUACUUGCUAUAAAUCUUUCGAACAUACUAUUGACCUAAACCCAACCAUUAUUUCACAAAAAUGUUUAGUUCGUGCGAAUCAAGUAUUGAUCCACAAUCAUGCACAGCUAGGCCCCAUGCAAAACUGACUCAGACAUCACUUCGUUAAAAGGUUAAUAAUUUCUUUUACCAAAGCUGGAUUGACUAGCAGUCUUCGGCAAAUUUGUAGGCAAUUAAAUUAUCUUUCUUAUUUUCACUUACAGUGAUAAUACGAUGCAUAUAGUGCCACCUAGCGGCGAAAAUGCGAGUUAGUGGGUUUUCUCCAUAUAAAUUGUCGAAAAAUCCCAUACAAACUUCAGGCACGUUGGUCCGGUAGCUAGACUUGUCCAAUUUGCUUAAAAUUUGGAGGAAUUACUCCUGGUGGGAUUAGGAAUCGACUCAGGCAUGGGCCGAUGGGGGUCAUUUUUUCCUGUCACUCUAAUGUGCCUGUUACGUUGUAUUCCGUGGAAGUUUCCCCCUGAGCCAAUGAUUGCUCGGAAGAGCUGGAUUCAUCAAUGUUUUGAGGUGUAUUUGGUGAGCCAAGAAACACAGGGUUCUUCUCGUCGAUUCCGUUUGAUGAAUCUUCAAAACUGGGAUCCGAGGCAUCUUCCAAAUAUUUGACGUUGCGGAAGUUGUCAGCGUCCUGUUUGUUUCCGCUAUCAUCACUAUCGCACUCAGCCAUUAUAAACAUUAUUUUCUUUCUAAAACGUGUUGGUACUAGUAAGAUAGCAAGAGACAGCGAUUGCGUGAUGCUUGUUUUUGUUUUGAAUUUAAGCGCACGGGGGGCACCCAUAUGCACAAUCAGAAGGAGCCAAAAAAGUCAAACAUUAUUUUCAUAUAAAUAAAUUAUGCUUGUUUUUUAACUAAUAUUCACACCAUUUAAACGUACUAGGUACUUAUUGAAGAAACAUUCAUAACAUGAAUAACCCAUAAAGUACAAAAGUUUAUAUAAUACUCACAUUAGGUUCUUUACUGGAACAGUUAACCUCACUUUUCUUGACAGUUCGCUUGUACUGUUUACAUGGACUUAGAAAAAUUAGUGGACGACUAGAUUCGUUCGAAGCAAAUUGUAACGAAUUUUUCUAAGUCCAUGUAAACAGUACAAGCGAACUGUCAAAAAUGAACAAUCAGUUCAUCUGUGACGUCACUGUAAAGUAUUCAAUAGCCCUUGCGUUGGAACGGUUACAUAAAUGGAAUGCAGAAGUAACCGCUAAAAUCCAGCUUUCGAGUAAAUUCACAAUACUUCAACCCGCUGGAUGCCACACGGCCUCUACGCUGGUUUUGUCCGGAGAAAGACAAUAGGCUUUUGUCAACCUCCUAGUGAGCCACAACCACAUUUGUUAUUAGUCGCUUCUUACGACAUGGGAACACAAUGUGUCAGUUCUUUACUGAAAUACUUCGAGAGAUUUGAGCCGCCAGAUAUCACCCGAAUCAAUAUCGAAUAUGAAUCAGAGGAUGAGUAGGCUGUAGCCAAAGGUGGACGCGAUUUUUCAAUGUCACAUUUUUUCAUCACAAAAAAGAUGUUAGUACUGCAAUUUUCGACAUUUUUUCUCGCGCUGAGGAAAUUUGAAAGCUGUGAAGUAUUCCUGCACAUUCGAAUCUGUUGUGUUUAACUGUCUGCACAAUAAUAUAGUCAGUUUAGUAAAAACGUCAACAUCGGUAUCGGUCUGCUAUUGGUUUACGGCCAAUUAGUUCCACUUCAAACCCACAUCCCAUUCUGCUUCCCUGCUAACCAAAUCUAACAUCCGUAAUACCUACGGUCGUUUUUGCUAAGCUAUGCCAGAUAGCCACACGACACAUCAGAAUCCUGGUGAAACAUGUGAAAGUCGGUUUGGUUUGUGUCUGCAAAAGUAAAGGUGGACAUUGCAGCACAACCUUAGGGUACUGCGAUCAUUUACUACAUCUACCAUCUACCGGCGCAGAGUAUCCAAAACAUGACGUAAAACUCACCACCGGUGACGCAAAUGCGCAGAUCAGAAGGAAAGAAUAAUAAUAAUAAUAAUAUUUCGUCUACUGAUUGGAAAGAGCAGCCUACAUCCAACCACCAACGAUAACGACCUAAGGUUGAUCUAUCUCGUCACUGCCAGAGGCAUGGUUGUCUACAGCGCUUGCUUUAUACGAAAAAUAUUCGGAAGCACACCUAAAAGGCGGAACGUGCUCCCACGUCAAGUAGGUUUUAAAAGACGAUCUACAUUUCCUUGAUGUCAAUGAUGUUAGAACCUUUCGAGGACCGAACGCCAUCUCUAGCCACUAUCUGGUGGUGUGAGAUUCGCACAAGACUGUACAAAAUCAUGCGGCUAAAUUUGAAAAUAUGAGGACGCUAGAACUACGGAUUCAUUAUUACGAUAGUCCAAUAAUCAAUGCUAUGAGCAUAUAUCAAACGCAAGGAAAGCAUGCUAAAACGUCCCCUCCGCGGAUCUGGUCAAACGUUCUUUAAAGUAGCAUGCUAGUAGUUGAAAUAAUGUACAUCUCCACAGAACUUGUACAUUUCCUCCUGUCUGGUGCUACAGGUCGUGGCAGCGUAGCACUUCUGGGUUAACAGCUUCGGUACUACGAACUCCGGUUUGGUAGCUGACUUCGCAAUUUUCAAAAUUUUGGAUCUAGUCUUUAGGAACGCAAUGCUCGGUGGUUCACAACUGGACAGCUGAUCUCGAUUUCGAGAGAAUUCCACCGCUGUGCUUUGAAAUGUCGCUGAGCUGUUGAUUCAGUUAAGGAAUACUCAUUUUAUAAAGUGGACACGUGUUUGUUGUUGUUUCUACUCAACAACUUGAUGAAAAAUGAAUUGACUCAUCUAUCUUUUCAAAGACACCAAUUAACUACGUUGAUGAUUUUCCCAGAAACUAUUCUUCAUCAUUUCAAUCAUGAUUAUCUAAUAAACCGGCUGAUACUCUUUAUUUAGAGUUUAUAAAGGUUUCAUAUGGUGGCAAAGCUGCACACAUUUUUCCCCUUCGCAUACUAUCUAGCUUUCUAUUCUUAUACACGAUUAACCAAAGUUUCUUGAUCCCAUUUACAGCAGAAACCACAAAGUGCAUGCAAUUGUCAACAAAAGUUAUUGUUGAUAAAACGUUCGUUAUAUUUAGUUUUAUCUCACAAUGACAUGUUUUUUGGUGUAUUUUUUUCUAACUGCGAAUUGUCAUAUGUUGGCACUAAAAAGGUUAAUGAAUAAACACUAAAUCAAUGUGAUUGCAAUUUUCAGGACACAUCAAACGGUUGAAAGCUGUAAUAUACAAAUGAGAGAAAAAACUAAGACUUGUGAAGCAAAGCUGAUUAAACUAGCUCUCCACAAUGCAGAUUAUCCCUAUAAAUACACUCUACUGUAACAUAGUACGUAGCAAUGGAUGAAAAAAUUUGUUACCGCUAAGCUUCAUCUAUAAAUAACGAUUGGCAGUAAGAAAAAUUGAACUGCAAAUAAAGCGCAAUGUUAAAGUAGGAAGAAAAUCUAUGCGGAAUAAAGUUUAGGGUAGAAUAUAACAAUAGAACUGAGAUCUGUUGUUCAUUAAUAAAGCUGGGGAAGACACUUUAGAAUAUAGAUUAAAUAAUAAAAUGCAGAUGUACAGCGCAAUCCAAAGUUAAUAUAAUAGACACGAAAGUAAACAAUUCGAGAAAGAAAAAAAAACAUGCAAAUAGUAGGUUUACGACGGCGACUGGAAUAAAACUUGUAUUAGUAACCACUAUUCUGACGAUUGAUUCUGUAUGUAUGUCUGUUGGUUUAAAAAUGAUGAAAUAGGGUUUAUAUAUUAAAAGUGAAUAAGACUACAA